UUUUUGUUCCGAGGUUCAGCUCUUUCAUGUAUUACACAGGCUUUUAGUGAGUGCCUCCUCCCGCCUCCUUUCUCUCCUUCCCUUCUUCCCUCCCCACUCCUUCUUUCCUUCUCUCCAUCCUGCCUCCAAGUCUCCUGAUUGCUUGGAUUACAGCCAGUCCCUCCACUGGGCUUCCAUAUAGACUUGGCCACCUAUCCCAGGCCCAGGCUGGCAGCGUGCCCGUCUGCCUACGCAGUCCCUGCCCCUCUUCCAACAAUCUCUUCCCUGCCUGGCUUCUGCUCUGAACAAGACAUAGAACUCUCGGCUCCUCCAGCGCCAUGC
rnacentral:sRNA from 1 species